GAUGAACGCUAGCGGCAGGCUUAAUACAUGCAAGUUGAGGGGCAGCAUGAUAUACGCGAGUAUAUUGAUGGCGACCGGCGGACGGGUGAGUAAUAGGUAGGAGACCUACCUCAUACAGGGGGAUAGCAUAGAGAAAUCUGUGGUAAUACCCCAUGAGGUUAUAUGAAUAGAGGCAUAUAAUCAAAGCAUAAGCGAUUAUGCGGUAUGAGAGGGGCCUACUGACCAUUAGCUAGUUGGUGAGGUAAGGGCCCACCAAGGCAACGAUCCGUAGCGGGUCUGAGAGGAUGAUCCGCCACACUGGGACUGAGACACGGCCCAGACUCCUACGGGAGGCAGCAGUGGGGAAUUUUGGACAAUGGGGGCAACCCUGAUCCAGCCAUGCCGCGUGAGUGAAGAAGGCCUCGGUUGUAAGCUCUUCGCUGGAGAAUACGCAUCUCCUAAUACGGGUGUGGAUGACGGUACCAGCAU
rnacentral:rRNA from 1 species